CUACCGUUCUGCCUCCGACCGGUCGUGUGUGGGUUUACUCGGAGGUGCUUUGCCUCUGAAGAAAAGAGAAAUACUAGGCUUUAGAAUUUCACCAUAUGAAUUUUGGGAGAGAGGAGCACAGUUCAGCCCAUAACUAACACACGACGGAAUGAAGUUGAUAAUAGUGAGACCUUGUUGGUACAAGACUAUGUAACAUAACCUGCGCUUCUCAACAAAGAAUUGCUUUUCUGACUUCUGCACUCAAUAGCAAGACAAAUCUCUCCUCUGCCUUCUCCUUAUCAGACUACUCAACAUGAAGGCAAUAAGAAUGAAGACCUCUAUGUAUAAUAAUUGACUUCCACUUAAUAAAUAAGGUUACUUGGUACACUGGUCGACAAAACCUUGAAAUGUUGAUGUUUAAGGGCUGUUGAUUGCUGGCAGCAAAGAAGUCCAACUGUGCUGGUACCCGAGAUAGCGUCUCCACAUUUUCUUCCAGGAUCAUCACCUUUGUUCUAAAUAGCUCCCACAUAGUGUGAACAGAAGUCAUAUGUUUUAGAUUUUCUGCCUUGGCACCCAGGAAACCAGUAUGAUUGAGUAAACAUAUUAAACUUCCUCUGCAUUUCCAGCCUGAACAGAUGUUGAGUACAAGCUGAUCCACCUACGUUCAACCUGAGAGAGUCCACAUCCACAGACUGUUUCAUUUCCCUUUUUCAAUUUACAUAGAAGCAUAGAUUCUUGCUGGCAUAUACAAAUGCGCCAUUUAAGGCAAUCAAAAAUGGUUCCACAUCUCAUCUGAUUUCCACAAUUGUUGCUGUAACGAUGGACUACUGAGGAGAGAGACAAUUUCUCUGGCACAUCUUCCCACAUUUUAGCAACAUGUUCAUGGAGAGCCAAUAUUCAGUAAUUACAGCCCAAUUCCUCACAAUUUCACAAUUCGCUAACAAUAUGCAUUUUCACAAUGUAAAGCUGAUUUUCCUUUAACCAAAUCAAACAUGAAAAGAUAGCUGCAUGCAAUGGGCAAUCUAGAUCAUUAGAAGAUUGAUGUAAAAUUAGAGGACACUGAGACUGGAAUAGAUUGCAAACUUCAGGGAGCUCAGAAAACUUGUAAACUCUACAUUUUGAGGAAAUAUGUUGUCGAUGCUUUUGCAACUCUAUGCAGUAACUUAACAAAUAAAGCCUUAAAGUAACUUA
rnacentral:lncRNA from 1 species